GACGAACGCUGGCUGCGUGCUUAACACAUGCAAGUCGAACGGAACGGCCCUGCUUUUUUGGGGUUCUCGAGUGGCGAACGGGUGAGUAACACGUGAGUAACCUGCCCUUGACUUUGGUAUAACUUCCGGAAACUGGUGCUAAUACCGUAUAGGAGCUCCUGCUGCAUGGUGGGCGUUGGAAAGUUUCGGCGGUUGGGGCUGGACUCGCGGCUUAUCAGCUUGUUGGUGGGGUAGUGGCUUACCAAGGCUUUGACGGGUAGCCGGCCUGAACGGGUGGCCGGCCACAUUGGGACUGAGAUACGGCCCAGACUCCUAGGGGAGGCAGCAGUGGGGAAUAUUGCACAGUGGGCGGAAGCCUGAUGCAGCAACGCCGCGUGCGGGAUGACGGCCUUCGGGUUGUAAACCGCUUUCGCCUGUGACGAAGCGUGAGUGACGGUAAUGGGUAAAGAAGCACCGGCUAACUACGUG
rnacentral:rRNA from 1 species